GGGGGCGUAGCUCAGUGGUAGAGCACCUGCUUUGCAAGCAGGGGGCCGUCGGUUCGAUACCGACCGUCUCCA
rnacentral:tRNA from 4 species